rnacentral:lncRNA from 1 species
CCUUUAGUAUUUGUUGUAGCUCCAUUGUCUCUUUGUAUUAAUUAUGCUUGGAUUUGCCUUGCCUUGCUACUUAAAGAUGUGCUUUUUAUUCUGUAGAACUUCUGUGCUUGAAAUUGAACUUUAAAAAAAAAUCUGGUCUUCAAAUAUGUUUGAAUUGAAAUAAAACUGUUUAAAAUGAGAAACUGAUUACGUAAAGAAUGCUGAUGUUCAACACUAUAGAUGAUCCUAAAUUUCUGACACUCAGCAAAAUAAAGCUUGGAAGGCUGGGAAUCUUUGAUAGCUUUGAAAGCACUUGCUUCUUCAAGAGCUCUGUUUCCAGAACUUACAGCAGGAAACGGUUGCAUUUUGGGGUCCUACCUUAAAGCAGAAUAAGACUUGGCUACUCAGAGAAGAAGAUCCUGAGGACCUGGGGGAGGAGUGGUCCAGCCUCAGGUCAGUCGUGGCCGCUCCUUCUGCCACCAUGGUCCUUGUAGAUGAGGUAACUGAUGAAAAUGAUACUUAUACAGAAAUUAUCACUCCAGUGACGAACAAUCAGGAUGAAGAAGAAGGUGGGUCUUCCUUGCUGGCAUUGGUUGGAGAGCAGCCAGACCCAGGGUUCCUUUUGAAAAGAGGAUUGGGGUGUGCUAGAGCAUGUAGCUCUUUCCCAGUCAUAGUGAUGCCCAAGUACGUACAUGCCCUGGAUGCAAGUCUAUCCUGUAGAUUGUGCUUUGUGGUAAGAUAUGAGACAUGGGAAGCAAGGUCCAUAUGUGAGCACAUGUGGUGUGAGUAUAUGUUUCCUCAGGACCUAUUGUCUGUUUCCACCACAAAUAGGCCUGGCAACUUUCAUGGAAGACAAAUACCACCCCCUCUGCUCAGCUGCUCUGCAUUCAUUC